rnacentral:rRNA from 1 species
UACGUAGGGGGCAAGCGUUGUCCGGAAUCACUGGGCGUAAAGGGUGCGUAGGCGGGUCUUUAAGUCAGGGGUGAAAUCCUGGAGCUCAACUCCAGAACUGCCUUCGAUACUGGAGAGCUUGAGUCCGGGAGAGGUGAGUGGAACUGCGAGUGUAGAGGUGAAAUUCGUAGAUAUUCGCAAGAACACCAGUGGCGAAGGCGGCUCACUGGCCCGGUACUGACGCUGAGGUGCGAAAGCGUGGGGAGCAAACAGG